rnacentral:rRNA from 1 species
UACGUAGGUGGCAAGCGUUGUCCGGAAUUAUUGGGCGUAAAGGGUGCGUAGGCGGUCUUUUAAGUGGGAUGUGAAAUACCUAGGCUUAACUUAGGAAUGGCAUUCCAAACUGGAAGACUAGAGUGCAGGAGAGGAAAGUGGAAUUCCCAGUGUAGCGGUGAAAUGCGUAGAGAUUGGGAGGAACACCAGUGGCGAAGGCGACUUUCUGGACUGUAACUGACGCUGAGGCACGAAAGCGUGGGGAGCAAAC